rnacentral:rRNA from 1 species
GUAGGGAAUAUUGGACAAUGGGGGCAACCCUGACGCAGCGACGCCGCGUGAGUGAUGAAGGCCUUCGGGUCGUAAAGCUCUGUUGCAGGGGAAUAAAAAAAUGAAGGUACCCUGUGAGGAAGGAUCGGCUAACUUCGUGCCAGCAGCCGCGGUAAGACGAGGGAUCCUAGCGUUGCUCGGAAUCAUUGGGCGUAAAGAGGGCGUAGGUGGCUUGGUAAGUCAGGUGUGAAAGCCCAGGGCUCAACCCUGGAAGUGCAUUUGAUACUGCUGAGCUUGAGUGUCGGAGAGGUUACCGGAAUACCUGGUGUAGUGGUGAAAUACGUAGAUAUCAGGUGGAACACCGGAGGCGAAGGCGGGUAACUGGACGAACACUGACACUGAGGCCCGAAAGCGUGGGGAUCAAACAGGAUUAGAUACCCCGGUAGUCC